rnacentral:rRNA from 1 species
UACGUAGGCAGCAAGCGUUGUUCGGAAUUACUGGGCGUAAAGAGUGUGUAGGCGGUGCUCUAAGUUCGGUGUGAAAUCUCCCGGCUCAACUGGGAGGGUGCGCUGAAAACUGGGGUGCUCGAGGGUGGGAGAGGUAAGCGGAAUUCCUGGUGUAGCGGUGAAAUGCGUAGAUAUCUGGAGGAACACCGGUGGCGAAGGCGGCAUCCUGGACCGACACUGACGCUGAGGAGCGAAAGCCAGGGGAGCAAACGGG